UAAGCGGAGGAAAAGAAACUANCAGGAUUCCCCUAGUAACUGCGAGUGAAGCGGGAAAAGCUCAAAUUUAAAAUCUGGUGNUCUUUGGCCGUNCGAGUUGUAANUUUAGAGAAGCGUCUUNCGCGCUGGNCCGUGCACAAGUCUCCUGGAACGGAGCGUCGUAGAGGGUGAGAAUCCCGUCUUUGGCAUGGACACACCAGGGCUUUUNCGAUGCGCUCUCGAAGAGUCGAGUUGUUUGGGAAUGCAGCUCAAAAUGGGUGGUGAACUCCAUCUAAAGCUAAAUAUUGGCGAGAGACCGAUAGCGAACAAGUNCCGUGAGGGAAAGAUGAAAAGCACUUUGGAAAGAGAGUGAAACAGUACGUGAAAUUGUUGAAAGGGAAACGCUUGAAGUCAGUCGCGUCGUCCGAGACUCAGCCUCGCCUCGGCUUGGCGUACUUCUCGGCCCGACGGGUCAGCAUCAAUUUCGCCUCUCGGAUAAUGGCGAGGGAAAAGUGACACCUUUACGGUGUGUUAUAGUCUCUCGUCGCAUGCGAGGGUCGGGAUUGAGGAACUCAGCACGCGCCCUCGGGCGUCGGGGCUUUCGCCCACGAUACGUGCUUAGGAUGUUGGCGUAAU
rnacentral:rRNA from 1 species